UGCAGUCGAGCGAGAAGUGACUUCGGUCGCGAGUAAAGCGGCGAACGGGUGAGUACAACGUGGAUAAUCUACCCUAGGGUCCGGGACAACCCCGAGAAAUCGGAGCUAAUACCGGAUAAGACCACGGUAUCCAAGGAUACAGUGGUAAAAGAUUUAUCGCCUUUGGAUGAGUCCACGCCCCAUCAGGUAGUUGGUAAGGUAAAGGCUUACCAAGCCUAAGACGGGUAGCCGGCCUUAGCGGGUGAACGGCCACUGGGGACUGAGACACGGCCCUGACUCCUACGGGAGGCAGCAGUGGGGAAUAUUGGGCAAUGGGCGAAAGCCUGACCCAGCGAUGCCGCGUGAGGGAUGAAGGCCUUCGGGUUGUAAACCUCUGUCAGGAGGGACGAUGGGACUAUGUCUUGACGGUACCUCCAGAGGAAGCCCCGGCUAACUCCGUGCCAGCAGCCGCGGUAAUACGGAGGGGGCAAGCGUUGCUCGGAAUUACUGGGCGUAAAGGGUCCGCAGGCUGUCGGGCAAGUUGGUUGUGAAAGCUCAAGGCUUAACCUUGGAAUUGCAUCCAAAACUGCCUGACUAGAGUCCAAGAGAGGUUGGCGGAAUUCCCGGUGUAGCGGUGAAAUGCAUAAUAUCGGGAGGAACACCAGAGGCGAAGGCGGCCAACUGGCUUGGUUACUGACGCUCAGGGACGAAAGCGUGGGUACAAACCGGAU
rnacentral:rRNA from 1 species